CCAGUGGCUCCCUGUGGAUUUCUUUUUUUUUUUAAUUAGUGGAAAUGAAUAACUGUUUUUUGUUUACAUUUUCAAUUUUAUUUAUCAUUGUUGUAGGUCUAUGUUACGAUGGUACUACGGAGUAUUAGGGCCACAUUGAGG